rnacentral:rRNA from 1 species
GACAGAGGGUGCAAACGUUAUUCGGAAUCACUGGGCUUAAAGCGCGUGUAGGCGGAUGAGCACGUCUGUCGCUGAAAUCCCCCGGCUCAACCGGGGAACGGGCGUGGAUACGGCUUGUCUGGAGGGGCGUAGGGGGACCUGGAACUUCCGGUGGAGCGGUGAAAUGCGUUGAGAUCGGAAGGAACACCUGUGGCGAAAGCGGCUCACUGGACCACAACUGACGCUGAGGCGCGAAAGCUAGGGGAGCAAACAGG